CUCAGUCCCCACUCAGCUCCACGCCCGCACCAGGGCCCUAGUUCACAGGAGAGAAGACUGGCGGGCAGGGGGUGCGGGGAGGUGAUUCGGCCGCCGGGACAUCCUCGUGGAAGGACCUAGGAACCACUUCGGUCCAGAGCCACCUGGAGGCUGGAUGGCACCCGCAUUCUUCUGGGAUCCUGGAUGUGCCUCCAUCAGUCCUUCUGUUAGGGUUCAUGGGACCCCAGAGAUGAACGAGAUUUUACUGCUGUUGUCCAGGAAUGACUGCUGGGAAAGAAGAAAUUGGCAUUCUCCCCUCGAGGUCCAGAAAGAGAUGGAGAUGUGGUCUGACUGACACACAGGCUUCAGAAGAGGCAGCAUGUUGCUGGUGUUGAAUGUGGUGCAUUCCAAUGUUUAUAACAUUCCAGACUAUAAACGUACUGCAGAUAGCAGUGGUUGUAGCUACCUUUAUUGAGUGCAUACUCUGCGCCAGGUUCUUCACCUACAUUCACUCAACAAACAUGUAUUGAGGUCCUAGUGGGUGCCAGGUACUAUGCCAGGAGCUCCCCAUGGGACUGUGACAGUCUAGACCACAUGCAGCACACAGUCUAGCGGGGAACAGACAACAAAAUCAUGACAUAGACAUACUUGUAUAUGAGGUAAGUGCCCUAAAGGGAAAUGUAGGGAAUCAGUACUAAGGCAAGUGUGUGCUGAGGGUAGGGUGGUAGGAGCAUCCAGCCUGAUGCCGGCAGCAAGAGCGGGUGUCAUUAGUAAUAAAUUUUUAAACAAUAAGAACCCACUGAAAGUCAGUCUGUCUUUUAUCACUAUGUACCAGUAACUCUAAACAAUGCCUUCACCUCCAAAUUCUUUUAUUGGUUUAAGACCUCAACAAUUGUUUUUGUUACUGUUGACUUUCAAUAAUAUAUAUGUAAGUUUCAAAUUAGCACGUUUUUUAUUACUCAUCCUUUAAUAAGUGUUGUAUUCUUCUUGGAAGUUAAUUGGGAGAAUUGCCAGCCAUUGAGCCACUCGCCACAUGGGAACCCAGCUACCGGAGGCAUGUGGGUGCAGAAUUGUUUGUGCUCACUUCAGAAGAAGUUGUGUCUAGUCCCUGUUAUACUGUCCUUUGUUUAAACUGUGGGUUUGAAAUAAACAUUGGUAGCAUAGUUCAA